UCUUAUCCUUGAUUCGGAUUGAAUUCAAAUCAAAAAGGAGAUAAGACCCAUGACUCAUCAUGAGUGCCGCCCACCCCUCUCUGUGCCCUCCUUUCUCAUGACCAAAAUAUUUCACUCAAAACUUAUUUUGUGUUAAAGAGAUGGCGUGGGACCUAGGGCAUGCGCAAGGGAGAGAGUCCUAGUUGGCUGGGACUCUUCAUUUCUUAUUUGAUUCCAAAGCAAAUCAUAUUUGGUUUGAACCCAG
rnacentral:lncRNA from 1 species